rnacentral:lncRNA from 1 species
GGAUUCCACCUGGACCGUCUCAGACCUGACUGUUCAGGUUGGGGUCUAGGAAGUUAGAGAAGAAGAAAAACGGACACAGUGCGGAGCGGGGAGGAGGUGGUCGUAAUGGUGAUCAAGUUAGCACCAGGAGGAGGUAUGGUCGUAUGGAUGAGGAGAGGUGGGGAAGAGGCAGAAGAGAGCAAGAGUCACAAUCCAAAGUUAACAUUGCACCGGGUGGGAAUUGUUAAAUAGGAUAUUAGUUAUAGAUUAGUUAGAAUAAUUGGAGUCCUAUAUAAACAAGUUGUAGUUAAUCAAUGGAUGAAGUUUCAUUUUCUCCCAAAUUAGUUUUGCUUUCACAGAUCUUUAGAUUCCAAGAUGGUUUCAGAUGAUGAUUCUCUUCUGUGAAGUGAAACAACAAUUUUCCGACGAUUUCUGUGAAGAACGACGUGUCCAGAUUGCAACUUCUUUUCAGACGCGCUUCCUCCAGAUCGCCGCGAGUUUUCUAUUUUUUUUUUGCGAGUUAGACGUGUUUCAGUCGCUGCAGUUCUAGAUCGUUCCAGAUCUCCGAUCAUUCCAGUCACUGCAGUUCGCUCCAGAUUGUUGCGAUCUUCAAUUUCUUUCAGAUUGUAACUUCUCUUAAUAGAUUAGGAAACAUUAUCAUCUCAGAAGAUAGAUUUUCCAUAAACCAACAAACCGAGAGAACAAAUUCUGAAACGUCGCAAAUACCACAAAAUUUGACGUCAGAAAUACCUCAAAUUCUUACUCAAGAAUUCAACCAUCACACAACUGAAUUCAGAAAAAAUCAAAGAGUUAGAAAUUUUUCAAGUAAGCUAAACAUUUAUGAAGUAGAUCUACCUAAAACACUCAUAGCAGAAACAUUAAACACCAAAGAAGUAGUUCUCAAAAAUUACAAAGAAGCACUAUUAAUAGCUUAUUGGAAACAAGCUAUGGAUGAUAAAUAUAAAGCAUUAAUCGAUAACAACACUUGGGACUUAGUCAAACCAAACACAAUAAAAAAUACGAACAUAAUUGACACAAUGGAUUUUCAAAAUAAAAAAAAG